GAAACGACUGCUAAUACCGCAUAAGCCCACGGCCCGGCAUCGGGCUGCGGGAAAAGGAUUUAUUCGCUUCAGGAUGGACUCGCGUCCAAUUAGCUAGUUGGUGAGGUAACGGCCCACCAAGGCGACGAUUGGUAGCCGGACUGAGAGGUUGAACGGCCACAUUGGGACUGAGACACGGCCCAGACUCCUACGGGAGGCAGCAGUGGGGGAUAUUGCACAAUGGGGGAAACCCUGAUGCAGCGACGCCGCGUGGAGGAAGAAGGUUUUCGGAUUGUAAACUCCUGUCGUUAGGGACGAUAAUGACGGUACCUAACAAGAAAGCACCGGCUAACUACGUGCCAGCAGCCGCGGUAAAACGUAGGGUGCAAGCGUUGUCCGGAAUUACUGGGUGUAAAGGGAGCGCAGGCGGACCGGCAAGUUGGAAGUGAAAACUAUGGGCUCAACCCAUAAAUUGCUUUCAAAACUGCUGGCCUUGAGUAGUGCAGAGGUAGGUGGAAUUCCCGGUGUAGCGGUGGAAUGCGUAGAUAUCGGGAGGAACACCAGUGGCGAAGGCGACCUACUGGGCACCAACUGACGCUGAGGCUCGAAAGCAUGGGUAGCAAACAGGAUUAGAUACCCUGGUAGUCCAUGCCGUAAACGAUGAUUGCUAGGUGUUGGAGGAUUGACCCCUUCAGUGCC
rnacentral:rRNA from 1 species